rnacentral:misc_RNA from 1 species
GAAUUGCGAUAUGUAAUGUGAAUUGCAGAAUUCAGUGAAUCAUCGAAUCUUUGAACGCAUAUUGCACCCUCUGGUAUUCCGGAGGGUAUGCCUGUUUGAGUGUCAUCAUUGUCUCAAGGCAAAGGAAUUUUUUUCCUUUGCAUUUGGAUGUUGAGGGAUUGCUGGUGUUCAUUGCCAGCUCCUUUUAAAUGCAUUAGCAGGACUUUUGCAGGACCAGCUCCGGUUUGAUACAUUGCUAUCUGAGCUGUUGCUGGGAAUGCAUCUUGGUUCUGCUUCUCAACUGUCCCACUCUUGUGGACUUGUCUAUUGGACAAAUUAAUGAUAAAAUUGACCUCAGAUCAGGUAGGACUACCCGCUGAACUUAA